rnacentral:rRNA from 1 species
AUGUGUAGGAUAGGUGGGAGGCUUUGAAGCGUGGACGCCAGUCUGCGUGGAGCCGACCUUGAAAUACCACCCUUUAAUGUUUGAUGUUCUAACGUGGAUCCGUAAUCCGGGUUGCGGACAGUGUCUGGUGGGUAGUUUGACUGGGGCGGUCUCCUCCUAAAGAGUAACGGAGGAGCACGAAGGUUGGCUAAUCCUGGUCGGACAUCAGGAGGUUAGUGCAAUGGCAUAAGCCAGCUUGACUGCGAGCGUGACGGCGCGAGCAGGUGCGAAAGCAGGUCAUAGUGAUCCGGUGGUUCUGAAUGGAAGGGCCAUCGCUCAACGGAUAAAAGGUACUCCGGGGAUAACAGGCUGAUACCGCCCAAGAGUUCAUAUCGACGGCGGUGUUUGGCACCUCGAUGUCGGCUCAUCACAUCCUGGGGCUGAAGUAGGUCCCAAGGGUAUGGCUGUUCGCCAUUUAAAGUGGUACGCGAGCUGGGUUUAGAACGUCGUGAGACAGUUCGGUCCCUAUCUGCCGUGGGCGCUGGAGAACUGAGGGGG